UUCCGGUUGAUCCUGCCGGAGGCCAUUGCUAUUGGGAUUCGAUUUAGCCAUGCUAGUCGCACGAGUUCAGACUCGUGGCGAAUAGCUCAGUAACACGUGGCCAAACUACCCUUCGGACCACUAUACCCUCGGGAAACUGAGGCUAAUAGUAGAUACCACAGUCCACCUGGAAUGAGGACUGUGCCAAACGCUCCGGCGCCGAAGGAUGUGGCUGCGGCCGAUUAGGUAGACGGUGGGGUAACGGCCCACCGUGCCAAUAAUCGGUACGGGUCAUGAGAGUGAGAACCCGGAGACGGAAUCUGAGACAAGAUUCCGGGCCCUACGGGGCGCAGCAGGCGCGAAACCUUUACACUGCACGACAGUGCGAUAAGGGAAUCCCAAGUGCGUAGGCAUAGAGCCUACGCUUUUGUCCACCGUAGGGAGGUGGACGAAUAAGGGCUGGGCAAGACCGGUGCCAGCCGCCGCGGUAAUACCGGCAGCCCGAGUGAUGGCCGAUCUUAUUGGGCCUAAAGCGUCCGUAGCUGGCCGCACAAGUCCAUCGGAAAAUCCACCCGCUCAACGGGUGGGCGUCCGGUGGAAACUGUGUGGCUUGGGACCGGAAGGCGCGACGGGUACGUCCGGGGUAGGAGUGAAAUCCCGUAAUCCUGGACGGACCGCCGAUGGCGAAAGCACGUCGCGAGAACGGAUCCGACAGUGAGGGACGAAAGCUAGGGUCUCGAACCGGAUUAGAUACCCGGGUAGUCCUAGCCGUAAACAAUGCCUGUUAGGUGUGGCUCCCACUACGAGUGGGUGCUGUGCCGUAGGGAAGCCGCUAAACAGGCCGCCUGGGAAGUACGUCCGCAAGGAUGAAACUUAAAGGAAUUGGCGGGGGAGCACUACAACCGGAGGAGCCUGCGGUUUAAUUGGAUUCAACGCCGGA
rnacentral:rRNA from 1 species